AACGUAGGAGACAAACGUUAUCCGGAGUUACUGGGCGUAAAGGGCGUGUAGGCGGUUGGUUAAGUCUGGCGUGAAAGCUCUCGGCUAAACCGGGAGAGGUCGUUGGAUACUGGCCGACUAGAGGACGGUAGAGGCGUGUGGAAUUCCGGGUGUAGUGGUGAAAUGCGUAGAGAUCCGGAGGAACACCAGUGGCGAAGGCGGCAUCCUGGACCGAGAUUGACACUGAUGAGCGAAAGCUAGGGGAGCAAACGGG
rnacentral:rRNA from 1 species